CCCAGUUAAAUCUGAAUUCUUGAUAAACAAUAUUUUUUAGCAUAAGUAUGUCCCAUGCACGAUUUGGGACAUACGUAUCCUAAAAAUAUAUAUUCUUAAUUUUUCUGAAAUUCCAAUUUAAUGGACACCCUUUAUUUU
rnacentral:miRNA from 1 species